GGAGACUUAACGUUGUUUCAAACGCCGAAAAAUGUCGAAUACCAACGUGGAAGGAAUGGUUAAUUUCUUUGCCGGUUUCACAACGGCAAAUUCGAAAAUAGCGACGUUUUUCAAACCGCGGUAUUCUUCCUUUGGGCCUUCUUCCGGCAGUGCGAUGAAGAACGCAUGCCGAAAUCGCGAUACGUAUAUGUGAAAUUGCAGAAUUCAGUGAAUCAUCGAAUCUUUGAACGUCACCUUGCGCCGCCUUGGCAUUCCGAGGGGCACACCCGUUUGAGUGUCGUGAAAUCCUCAAAAUCCUUUCUUGGGCUUACCCAGAAGGGAUUUUGGACUUGGAGGUAUUAAUGCUUGCCUUUCACCUGUGAAAGUGAGCUCCUGUCACAAUGAAUUAGUGGGGUACCUGCUUUGACCUGAUCCUUUGACGUCGAUAACGACUGUUUCUACGUGUCUUGGAUUUUGGCACUGUACCUUGGAUGCCGUGCUUCAUAAGCCUGUCUCAUGGACAAUGGAUGGUGCUCGUGGUCCCCUGCCUUCUAACGCUUGGUGGCGAGGCUGGACCACACAGAUGAAAACCUUGACCUCAAAUCGCGGUGAGACUACCCAGCUGAACUUAACGCAUAUCAAUAAAGCGGAGGUAAUAAGAAGACUAAUCAAGGAUUCCCCUACGUAACUGCGAGUGAAGCGGGGAACACAGCUCACAACUCUUCAAAAUUCUCGGUGGUCUAUCGCCAUACUCGUU
rnacentral:rRNA from 1 species